CCCUUUAUUGUAAAUUACAUUUACAUUUGUCCCCACCCUUGAAAUACAUGCCGGGAGGUGGUUACCACCGGCCACACAUGCCGCCAAGAGGAAGCCGAUCAUAAAAAAAGGGAACUCCGGGGAAAUUCCGCCGACUGUGUUGGCGCGUCAACCCUAUCAAUCGAAAGUCGAUGCUUGAAAAACACCACCCAUCUUUCACACACUCACUUUCUAGAAUCCAAAUGAAGGGGUUUUUUUUUUGAGAAAGGGGUGUUCACCUGCAGUUACCGGUGAUGUUCCGGCCAUUAAUGAUCGAGUUGAGAACAUGGAGGCUGCAAACAGCAAAGUUUUGAGGUGGCGGUGGUCGUUUGACGGUGGUCGUGGGUUUUGAAGGUGUUGUUUCGACGGUAGUGGUUUGACAGGGGUUGUUUUGAUGGUGCGUGUUUAAGAUUGAACCUUAGCGACUUGCAUCUGACAUUAUAGGUGGUGUGAUACUUUCAGGAUUGAUCAUCUUCGUACAUGAUGUUGCUGGUAAAUUUAUAUACUUUUUUAAAUUUAAACUUCAAUGAACGGGCGGUGGUCCAUUGGUGCUACGCCGGUGCAAAAGAUUUCUACCCACCAGGCGAUGGUUCAAGCCCAGGUUGUGUAGCCUACUAGACUACCUUAUGAGUGCUUCAGUCAGAUGUCUAAUGUUUGUUUUGCAGGUUGUUUUUCUUUGAUGUUUUAAGAUUUUCAUCCGUUUGCAUUGCUUUUGCUUCAGCUUUGUUUAUGCUCUUCAUCAGUAAGUUGAAAUUAUAGUGUUUAGUUCAUGUUGAGUCUUGAUGGGAAAAUUAAAGCAUGGUUAUACAAUAACAUGGGUUCCCAGGUUGAUUACGAGUCUCCAGGUCGUUGGUGCACAAUAAUCGCGUAUAGUGCUGAUGGAACAAGGCUAUUUUCAUGUUGGACCAGCAAAGAAAGGGAGUCACACAUAGUAGAAUGGAACGAAAGUGAAGGGGCUGUAAAAGAACAUUUCUUGGUUUCCGUAAACGAUCUUUAGGCGUUGUGCAAUUUGAUACAACUAAAAAACACUUUUUUGGCUGCUGGUGAUGAGCUUUGUGUUAAAUAUUGAGACAUUGAUAAUGUUCAACUUUAACAGGUGUUGAGGCUGAUGGAGGUCUUCAGGUAAAUAAUAUUCAUUUCAUUUAACAAACAAGUAUUUAGAAUCACUUAUUCUAAUUUGUUAUUGACCAUUGAGCUUAAUACCUGUACUCGGAAAUGUAGCCGAUUUAUACCCGAAGAUGUGGUAAAAGGGUUAUGAACCGAAUCAGUAGACAUAGGAAACUAUGGUGCAUAGGUUUUAUAGAAUGGGCGGAAAACCGAUUCUGAAAUUUGGAUCUAGGCAUCCAAGCGAGUCUACAAAGUUGUUGGUUUUAAAUUACGGGCACAAUUGCAUAAACGGAUAAAAGUUACUUGGGGACCAAGAAUUGUCAUCUAUAUGCACACACUUUUCAAAGACAAACUGGCACCUGAAACCUGACUAACGCCAAUGCGACAAGAGAAUGCGAUCAAGAAUUCAAUAGUCUGAUGAAAGGUCAACAGGCGUCAUCGAUACAUGAACAUGGAGAAAAACCAUAAAAUCAGAGUGAACCGGAGCAACUUGCGGAAAACAACGGUGGUACCGGGGUUUGCGGUCACCGCAGUGGUGGUCAACAGUCGCACUCAAGUGUUGGCUAGGGUUUCGGUUGCCGUUUCAGGCAGAAACCGAUGGUGACGGCGGUUAGGAUUAAGAGAGACUAGCAGGAGAGAAAGAUAACUGUUCUGGAAAUCGAAGCUUGGUUAAGCUACAAAUUUAUUGAGAUUAAGAGAGACUAGGAGGAAAAAAAGAAGGGCCGGUUUCCUCACAGCGGUUUCCUCACAGCGGUCACCGGUCACCGACCUUUGGUCGGAUUUCGAUUUAUGCAACCAUUGUGGCUGAGUAGGGUUCCGAUCAAGUUCUCGCAAAUUCCGCAUGGUGCCUUGAAAUAUGGACAAAGCUGCUCGAAUUUGGUCGGAAUUCAAGAAUAGUGGCAGCUUAGAGUGGAUUUUACUAGAUGAAAAUCCAUUUGAAACAAGAAUCACAUAACAAUAUGUUUACUUGAACAUUCAUUGGAUAAAUGCCGAUGACGAUGAUAGUGGUUGUAUCAGUGGCAGCGAUGGUAGUUACUGGUAAUGCCUAUGACGGUAACAGGUUUGAGACGAAUGGAGGCGACGGUAAAAGUUAUGAUGGAUUUAGUUGAUGACGGUGGUUUAGAUCGACUCCGACGUGUUUUCAGCCUAUCAUCGAGAUGGUGAACGCGAGUCAAACAUCGGGUCAAAGCCGGAUUCAACAUGGUCAACAAAAGUUAACUCGGGUCAACCGAGUCAACUCAGUUAAAGCUGAUCAACAUGGUCAGACUGAAAAUCGAGUACCCGUAGCGGGAAUGCCGACAUUGGGAUGGCCCAUGGUAAAAGGUUUUUGGGCUGUGGAGGUGGUGAGGAUAGGUUUUCGAGCCCAACAUUUGGAAACGUCUAAACCAUGAAUUUGAAGUUUAAGCAGUUCAGAGAACAACUUAAAUCCACCAGCAGUGCUUAAAAUGUUUAAUUUUAUUAAUUUACUGAAUGAUAUUAUUAGUAGUAGGGGUGACGGUGGGUUUGUGCCUUUGUGGGUUGAAUUGAUGAGCUUGUGUCGAAGACAUCAACCCGUAUACGGUCCGUCUGAUCACUUAUUACUCAAAGCUUUUACGGUUUGUAAACCGGUUAAAGGGGUUAACCAUAUAAAGCAAUCUAUUUUAAAAUCGUUUAAGUUUACGCGUUAAACGGUCAACCUGAACACGACAUGUUUAUUAAACGGGUUAGAACGUAGAAGUAACAACCCACAACCUAGCUAUUUCCGUGUCGUGUUUUAGGCUGUGUGGUAUAUGAUAUCGAGGUAUAAUAUAUAUGUUUUUUCGGUUAUCUUUGAUAUUCCAGAUUUUUCCUAGGAUUAAACAAAGUUAUGCAAGUUACUUUAGGUCGAUCUGAAUCCGAUGAGAUGAGGCCAGGGCUUCACAAGGUUUCUAAGGCACAGAAAGAGACGGAGAAAAUAGAUGCGAAAGAAAGCAAAGAGAGAGAUCCGGAGCCGGCGAAUCUCCGGCAACCGGCCCCACGCGUGCUUGCCUCCCACCCACAGAAACAAAGUCGUCGAGUCUAGGUUUCCCGGUUAGGGUUCCGAUCAAGUUCUGGCAAUUUCCGGUUAGCUUUUUUAUCUUGCAUGUUGGCUAUUUUGUUAGAUCGGUGGUCCAUGAACCUUAAUCUGACGAGUCAUGCUGAUCUGUGGAGUAGGUUACCUCCGGUGAGGUUCCGGUAAGGUUCUAUUACCCAUUGUUGAUGGGUCAGAGGAGAUGGAAGUUGUCAUGAUAAUUGUUGUUCUUUGACGUGCAAAUGCCGAAGUGUCACCACUGGCGGAUUCAGGCCGUCUUGGCCGCGGCUAUUUUAAACGUAAAACCCUAGCCGACGUUUUAGGCGACGACGGUCGGGGUUCAUGCGAGGUUUCAGCCUUUCACCUACCUGACAAUGAUGAUGGCUUGCUACCUGGUACGGCAACUCCGGUUGCAACCGUAGCGCCACUGAGCGGGUUGGACGGCGAUGACGAUCUUUUCGGAUCCGAGUCAAAUUGUGUUGGUAAUUUCGUUUUUUUUUGUUUUGCUGUAUGAGAUUGAUUAUACGAUUGUGUUUCUGGUGUUGGUCAUGUUGUUUCUCGCUGUUGUUUCGGCUGUGAUAUCGAUGGUUGUGCUGUUGAUAGUAGUAAUGAAAAGACAGGACUUUUUUAUGUUCGUGGUAAAAGUACAAAUUGUAUGUUUGUGGAUUGAUUUUGGGAUUUGAAGCAUUAUCCGGCGAUGAUGGUGGAUUGCUAUUUGGCGUGGCAACUAUGUUUGCAGCCGUAGCGGCAUUGAGCCGUGUUUUGUUGGUACCGGCGAUGAUGAAGGGUCAUUCUGAGCCUUUUACGCUAAACCAAUUUGGUGAACCACCAGAGACAUAAUGGCAAACUUUGGAACUUGAACAAUCACCAAACUGAUGUUAUUAAGGCGCUGAUGUUGAAGGAAUUUUGGAGCAUACACUAUUCAAGGGAACAUAUUUCCCACAUGGGAGGGUCUUUUUUGUGAGAAAGCUUCAGGCUUUCUUCAUUUACAGUUCUUGUGAAUAAUGGGUGCCGAUGAAUAUGGUUUUGAUUCAAUUGCUAUGAUUGCUAUAGGAUGUGUUAUAGCCCGUAUCUGCCACACAAAUAACUGUCUAGCUGGUGUCGUGAGUCAGGUAAGUGCUACGAAAAUGGGUGGGUCAGUUGGGUUGGUGAUAGGUCAAAAUGGGUAUCUUUAGUACAGGUCUACUAGGCAUUUCCUUCAACUGUAGUAACAUGUUUGAUUCAUUCAGUAUAUGAAUAUAUUGUUAGUAUAUAUUGACAUGGUUUAUAGCAAAAUAUAAAGCAACUGAAAACAUGAAUAAAAAUGAGCACGAAAUUAACAAAAUAUAAACCAACCAAAAACUUACAUAAAAAUAUGGCCAGAAACAUAUUAUAUUUGACCUACAUAUAUAAAAAUUAGCAUGUAAAACUAGAGGGGGUCAAAAUGACAAUUUAAUAAGUUUUUAUAAAACUAGGUAGCUGAAAUGUACAUAGACAGAAAAACGAACAGAACCCCAUCAAUAAGCAUAAGCUAGGCAUAGCACCAAAGGUUCCACCAGCACCAAAUUACACAAAGCACCUUUUGGGAUUUUCACACCCUUUACACCAUUCUAAACCAGUUGACAAUAUUGAACCACUUGUAGCUUAUAAUCUUGUACUUUAAAUGGGGGUGUUAUUAGCAAGUAAGCGUGUGAAUUUUAUAACAGUUUUUGAAGUUUAAGUUGUUAAUGAAGUACUGUUUGGUGUAACCUGUUAACAUGUGAGGUUAUCUUGGGGGAACUGUUAGUAUUUUAUGUUAUUUCGAAGGGGAUGUUAUUUUGUUUCGAGUUAUCGUGAUUAAAUAAAUUUUUGUCAUGCUUUGUUUGUAGGAGAUGAACUAGGGAAAAACACUAUGUGAUGACGUGCUUCAAUGAACGGCAAUUUCCUGGAUGACGGUGGCAGACGUGGGGCGUGCAUUGGUCAAUUUCCUAAUGAAGGUGGCGGACGUGGGGGUGGCGGGUGUGGGGUGCUGGUGUUAGAAUUCUCCUUAAACUCGCAAAUAAUUGUAACACCGAUGCUUUAGUUGCACCAAGUGUUAGGAUAGUGAGUUACUUUUUAGUAUUAUUUAGUAAGACAUGUUGCUGUUCUUUAGGGGAUGUAUGGGACUCUAGCUUUAUGUUCCAUUUGACAUGAUGUUUGGAUAAUUACACUACCACUGCUCUUUUGUA